UACGGGGGGAGCGAGCGUUGUUCGGAUUUACUGGGCGUAAAGGGCGCGUAGGCGGCCACCGCAAGUCAGUUGUGAAAGCUCUGGGCUUAACCCAGAAAGGUCAACUGAUACUGCGGGGCUAGAGUGCAGAAGGGGCAACUGGAAUUCUCGGUGUAGCGGUGAAAUGCGUAGAUAUCGAGAGGAACACCUGCGGCGAAGGCGGGUUGCUGGGCUGACACUGACGCUGAAGUGCGAAAGCUAGGGGAGCGAACGGG
rnacentral:rRNA from 1 species